rnacentral:snRNA from 1 species
AUCGCAGUUCUCCUCUUGUAAUACAAAUUUCUGUUCUUAUCAGCUUAAUAUCUGAUAUGUUAGGCAAUGCCUAACUCAUAUAUUAAACUGAUUUUUGGACUUCGGCCAUGGGAUUGAAGCUUGCUUCGCCCUGGCCACAGUUUGUCUCGGUAUUGCACUACAUCCGAGUACGGCCCCUUCCCC